rnacentral:misc_RNA from 1 species
GGACUACUUGGGUAUCUAAUCCUGUUUGCUCCCCAUGCUUUCGUACCUCAGCGUCAGUAUUAGGCCAGAUGGCUGCCUUCGCCAUCGGUAUUCCUCCAGAUCUCUACGCAUUUCACCGCUACACCUGGAAUUCUACCAUCCUCUCCCAUACUCUAGCUUCCCAGUAUCGAAUGCAAUUCCUAAGUUAAGCUCAGGGAUUUCACAUCCGACUUAAAAAGCCGCCUACGCACGCUUUACGCCCAGUAAAUCCGAUUAACGCUCGCACCCUCUGUAUUACCGCGGCUGCUGGCACAGAGUUAGCCGGUGCUUAUUCUGCGAGUAACGUCCACUAUCCUAGAGUAUUAAUCUAAGUAGCCUCCUCCUCGCUUAAAGUGCUUUACAACCAAAAGGCCUUCUUCAC